rnacentral:pre_miRNA from 1 species
AGUAGAAUUGCUGUGUCACAUGGCAAGUUUAACUUAUUAGGAACUGCCAAAUGUUUUCCAAAAUGGAUGUGCCAUUUCACAUUUCCACCAGCCAU